rnacentral:rRNA from 1 species
CAGUAGCCGCGGUAAUACGAAGGGGGCUAGCGUUGUUCGGAAUUACUGGGCGUAAAGCGCACGUAGGCGGAUCGAUCAGUCAGGGGUGAAAUCCCAGGGCUCAACCCUGGAACUGCCUUUGAUACUGUCGAUCUGGAGUAUGGAAGAGGUGAGUGGAAUUCCGAGUGUAGAGGUGAAAUUCGUAGAUAUUCGGAGGAACACCAGUGGCGAAGGCGGCUCACUGGUCCAUUACUGACGCUGAGGUGCGAAAGCGUGGGGAGCAAACAGGAUUAGAUACCCGUGUAGUCCCUGUCUCUUAUAA